GCCAGUGUGGCAUAGUGGCUUGAGUGCUAGAUUAUAACUCUGGAGAGCAAAGUUUGAUUCCCCGCACAGCCA